GACGAACGCUGGCGGCGUGCUUAACACAUGCAAGUCGAACGAGACGAUUUAGAAGCUUGCUUUUAUUGAGUCGAGUGGCAAACGGGUGAGUAACGCGUAGACAACCUGCCGCAAAGAUGGGGACAACAGUCCGAAAGGACUGCUAAUACCGAAUGUUGUAUCUCCUCGCAUGAAAGAGAUAUUAAAGAUGGCCUCUACUUGUAAGCGUAUCGCUUUGCGAUGGGUCUGCGUCUGAUUAGCUAGUUGGUGGGCAACGGCCUACCAAGGCGACGAUCAGUAGCCGGUCUGAGAGGAUGAACGGCCACAUUGGAACUGAGACACGGUCCAGACUCCUACGGGAGGCAGCA
rnacentral:rRNA from 1 species